GACGAACGCUGGCGGCGUGCUUAACACAUGCAAGUCGAACGGAAAGGCCCUGCUUUUGUGGGGUGCUCGAGUGGCGAACGGGUGAGUAACACGUGAGUAACCUGCCCUUGACUUUGGGAUAACUUCAGGAAACUGGGGCUAAUACCGGAUAGGAGCUCCUGCUGCAUGGUGGGGGUUGGAAAGUUUCGGCGGUUGGGGAUGGACUCGCGGCUUAUCAGCUUGUUGGUGGGGUAGUGGCUUACCAAGGCUUUGACGGGUAGCCGGCCUGAGAGGGUGACCGGCCACGGGGGUGGGGGGAUGGGCGCCCGAGUGCGAGGGGGGGGAGGCGGGGGGAGAAGGGGGAGCGGGGGGGAAGGAUGAUGGAGGGGCGAGGGGGGGGGGAGGGGGGCGCGCGGGCUGUAAUCCGCUGUGGGCGGUGAGGAAGCGGGGGUGACGGUAAUGGGGAAAGAGGCGCCGACUAACUACGGGCCAGCAGCAGGGUAAAGAAGGGGAACGGCACACGUCUGACC
rnacentral:rRNA from 1 species